rnacentral:rRNA from 1 species
CGCUGGCGGCAUGCCUAAUACAUGCAAGUCGAACGGGGUGCUUGCACCCAGUGGCGAACGGGUGAGUAACACGUAUCUAAUCUACCUCUUAGUGGGGGAUAACAGUUGGAAACGACUGCUAAUACCGCAUACGACACCAUUAUGGCAUCAGAAGGUGUUAAAAGGUCCGUUUGGACCGCUAGGAGAUGAGGAUGCGGCGUAUUAGCUAGUAGGUGAGGUAAUGGCUCACCUAGGCGAUGAUACGUAGCCGAACUGAGAGGUUGAUCGGCCACAUUGGGACUGAGAUACGGCCCAGACUCCUACGGGAGGCAGCAGUAGGGAAUUUUUCACAUGGGCGAAAGCCUGAUGAAGCAAUGCCGCGUGAGUGAUGAAGGUCUUCGGAUUGUAAAGCUCUGUUGUAAGGGAAGAAAUGCUAGAAGAGGAAAUGCUUUUAGUUUGACGGUACCUUACCAGAAAGCCACGGCUAACUAUGUGCCAGCAGCCGCGGUAAUACAUAGGUGGCAAGCGUUAUCCGGAUUUAUUGGGCGUAUAGGGUGCGUAGGUGGUUAGUUAAGUUUGAGGUUAAAUCCCAGGGCUCAACCCUGGUCCGCCUUGAAAACUGGCUAACUAGAAUACAGGAGAGGUAGAUGGAAUUCCAUGUGUAGCGGUGGAAUGCGUAGAUAUAUGGAGGAACACCAGUGGCGAAGGCGGUCUACUGGCCUGUGAUUGACACUGAGGCACGAAAGCGUGGGGAGCAAAUAGGAUUAGAUACCCUAGUAGUCCACGCCGUAAACGUUGAGUACUAAGUGUCGGCAAUUUGUCGGUGCUGCAGCUAACGCAUUAAGUACUCCGCCUGAGUAGUAUGCUCGCAAGAGUGAAACUCAAAGGAAUUGACGGGGACCCGCACAAGUGGUGGAGCAUGUGGUUUAAUUCGAAGCAACGCGAAGAACCUUACCAGGGCUUGACAUCCAGUGCAAAACUACAGAGAUGUAGUGGAGGCCAACAUUAGACAGGUGGUGCAUGGUUGUCGUCAGCUCGUGCCGUGAGGUGUUGGGUUAAGUCCCGCAACGAGCGCAACCCCUAUCGUUAGUUACUAACAUUAAGUUGAGCACUUUAACGAGACUGCUAGUGUAAGCUAGAGGAAGGUGGGGAUGACGUCAAAUCAUCAUGCCCCUUAUGUCCUGGGCUACACACGUGCUACAAUGGCUGAUACAAAGAGUCGCAAUCCUGUGAGGGGGAGCUAAUCUCAAAAAGUCAGUCUCAGUUCGGAUUGAAGUCUGCAACUCGACUUCAUGAAGCCGGAAUCACUAGUAAUCGCGAAUCAGCAACGUCGCGGUGAAUACGUUCUCGGGUCUUGUACACACCGCCCGUCACACCAUGAGAGUUGGUAAUACCAGAAGCACGUAUCUUAACCGUAAGGAGAGAGCGUACCAAGGUAGGA